GGGCCCGCACAAGCGGAGGAACAUGUGGUUUAAUUCGAUGAUACGCGAGGAACCUUACCCGGGCUUGAAUUGCAUUUGAAUGUGAAGGAAACUUUACAGUCGCAAGACAGAUGUGAAGGUGCUGCAUGGUUGUCGUCAGCUCGUGCCGUGAGGUGUCGGCUUAAGUGCCAUAACGAGCGCAACCCUUACCGUUAGUUACCAGCAUGUUAUGAUGGGGACUCUAGCGGGACUGCCACCGUAAGGUGUGAGGAAGGUGGGGAUGACGUCAAAUCAGCACGGCCCUUACGUCCGGGGCUACACACGUGUUACAAUGGGGGGGACAGAAGGUCGCUACCGUGCGAACGGAUGCUAAUCUUUAAACCCUCUCCCAGUUCGGAUUGGAGUCUGCAACCCGACUCCAUGAAGCCGGAUUCGCUAGUAAUCGCGCAUCAGCCAUGGCG
rnacentral:rRNA from 1 species